rnacentral:rRNA from 1 species
AUGAACGCUAGCGGCAGGCCUAACACAUGCAAGUCGAGGGGGAAGUUACUUUCGGGUGACUGAGACCGGCGUCCGGGUGCGUAACGCGUAUACAAUCUGCCUUUCACUGGGGGAUAGCCCGAAGAAAUUUGGAUUAAUACCCCAUAGUAUAUAGGGACGGCAUCGUUUUUAUAUUAAAGCUUAGGUGGUGAAAGAUGAGUAUGCGUUCUAUUAGCUAGUUGGAGAGGUAACGGCUCCCCAAGGCGAUGAUAGAUAGGGGUUCUGAGAGGGAUGUCCCCCACACUGGUACUGAGAUACGGACCAGACUCCUACGGGAGGCAGCAGUGAGGAAUAUUGGACAAUGGUCGGAAGACUGAUCCAGCCAUGCCGCGUGCAGGAUGAAGGUCUUAUGGAUUGUAAACUGCUUUUGUAAGGGAAGAAUAAGGGCUACGCGUAGUUUGAUGACGGUACCUUACGAAUAAGCAUCGGCUAACUCCGUG